rnacentral:rRNA from 1 species
UGUAAACGAUGUCGAUUUGGAGGUUGUUCCCUUGAGGAGUGGCUUCCGGAGCUAACGCGUUAAAUCGACCGCCUGGGGAGUACGGCCGCAAGGUUAAAACUCAAAUGAAUUGACGGGGGCCCGCACAAGCGGUGGAGCAUGUGGUUUAAUUUGAUGCAACGCGAAGAACCUUACCUACUCUUGACAUCCAGAGAAUUUAGCAGAGAUGCUUUAGUGCCUUCGGGAACUUUGAGACAGGUGCUGCAUGGCUGUCGUCAGCUCGUGUUGUGAAAUGUUGGGUUAAGUCCCGCAACGAGCGCAACCCUUAUCCUUUGUUGCCAGCACAUUAUGGUGGGAACUCAAAGGAGACUGCCGGUGAUAAACCGGAGGAAGGUGGGGAUGACGUCAAGUCAUCAUGGCCCUUACGAGUAGGGCUACACACGUGCUACAAUGGCGUAUACAAAGAGAAGCGACCUCGCGAGAGCAAGCGGAACUCAUAAAGUACGUCGUAGUCCGGAUUGGAGUCUGCAACUCGACUCCAUGAAGUCGGAAUCGCUAGUAAUCGUAGAUCAGAAUGCUACGGUGAAUACGUUCCCGGGCCUUGUACACACCGCCCGUCACACCAUGGGAGUGGGUUGCAAAAGAAGUAGGUAGCUUAACCUUCGGGAGGGCGCUUACCACUUUGUGAUUCAUGACUGGGGUGAAGUCGUAACAAGGUAACCA